rnacentral:rRNA from 1 species
UACGGGGGGGGCAAGCGUUGUUCGGAAUUACUGGGCGUAAAGGGCUCGUAGGCGGUCAACUAAGUCAGACGUGAAAUCCCUCGGCUUAACCGGGGAACUGCGUCUGAUACUGGAUGGCUUGAGAUUGGGAGAGGGAUGCGGAAUUCCAGGUGUAGCGGUGAAAUGCGUAGAUAUCUGGAGGAACACCGGUGGCGAAGGCGACAUCCUGGACCAACACUGACGCUGAGGAGCGAAAGCCAGGGGAGCAAACGGG